CAGUAUUUGGCAUGCGGAUCUACAAAUAUGGAACUUGGUUUCAAGUAACGUGCGUCGACGAGUGAAGUUAAAAGAUCCGUUUAAAAGACACCAGGCAGCAAUUCUAUCAACCAAUCAGCGUUGUUGUUAUUUGAUUUAUCUAAACAGAAUUUCAGGUCGUUAGCAAAUAUAAAGUACCUAUUUGGAAUUGUGGUAAGAUACCGUGAUAUCGUUUAUGAAGAUAUUAA
rnacentral:misc_RNA from 1 species